GGGGAAGGAUGAGAAGCUUCGACUAAGGUUCGACUCGAGCGAAGCGAGAGAACGUUGCCGCAGGCAACGGCCCGAAGGGCGAGGCGCUUUAGCGCCGAGUAAUCCUUCCCCCACCAUCA
rnacentral:sRNA from 1 species